GGAAAAGAGUGAAAGGCGAACCAAAGACCAUAAGCCACUUCUCUAUGUUUCCUGUAAAUGCUAGGGUGUCUAUUAUUCUGCAUAGUGGGGCACAUUAAGCAAAUUCUCCUUUUUCAGGAUGGCUGAAGCUGAAUUUCUGUUUAUUUUUGCUUAUGCAUCUCUGUUAAACCAGGAUCAUAUCCUCAACCCCCAAAGAGGAGCAGGCCACCUUUGCCAUCACGCUCAGCCUGGUCACCAGCCUGAGGCUUACCCAGUCACCCAGAUCUUCCCCUCACCUUGCUCCUGGAGUGUAGAAAUUCCACAUUCUCUUUCAUCUGGCUCCUGACAUCACUUCUCCAUAUUGACUGUGGGGCUCUUUUUCGGCUUGGAUUUUUCUCUUUGUUAAGACCCCGUGGGACCACAGAAAGAAGAAAAUAGUCAUGCAGGGGAGCUUACUUCCUAACUUCCUCAGCUGAUAUUGUUGGUUACAUCUGCAACCAUCCUGCAAUACGGUGUAGCACUGGCAUCAUGUGUGAGAUUCGUCCCCUUAUGUGAAUAAGUCUAAUGACAGUACUGCUGUUGAUGAUCAAAUAUAUAUCAGGAAGCUAAGUGAAAGCCUCCUCAGGAUAUAAUACUGAUGGAAAAUGACUGGCCUGAGGAAACACUAGAUUUCGUUAAUCGUCAUCUAAUUGCUAUGCUAAAGAGUUCUGGCCGGGUAUGGUGGCUCACACCUGUAAUCUCAGCAUUUUGGGAGGCUGAUGUGGGAAGAUCCCUUGAACCCAGGAGUUUGAGAGACCAGACUGGGCAAUAUAGUGAGAUCCUGUCUCUACAAAAACUAAAAAACUGAAAAAUAAAAUUAGUCAGGUAUGGUGGUGUGUACCUGUAGUUCCACCUACUUAGGAGGCUGAGGAGAGAGGAUCACUUGAGCUUGAGCUCGAGAGAUCAAGGCUACAGUGAGCUGUGAUCACACCACUGCACUCCAGCCUGGGCAACAGAGAUCCUGUCUCUAAAACCAAAACAAAACAAUAGUUCUUCACAAGUGUAUCACAAGAUAUAGAUGGUAGUAGAACAAGUUAUCACAUCAGGACAAAAAUAUGAAAAUGUAUGUAAUGACUUUCUAGAUAGAUAAGUUGUUUCUUUUUUAAAAUUUAAUUUUAAUUGAAAAUAAAAAUUUUAUAUAUUUGUUGUGAA